AAACCAACAGGGAUUGCCUUAGUAGCGGCGAGUGAAGCGGCAAAAGCUCAAAUUUGAAAUCUGGCGCCUUCGGUGUCCGAGUUGUAAUUUGAAGAUUGUAACCUUGGGGUUGGCUCUUGUCUAUGUUUCUUGGAACAGGACGUCACAGAGGGUGAGAAUCCCGUGCGAUGAGAUGCCCAAUUCUAUGUAAGGUGCUUUCGAAGAGUCGAGUUGUUUGGGAAUGCAGCUCUAAGUGGGUGGUAAAUUCCAUCUAAAGCUAAAUAUUGGCGAGAGACCGAUAGCGAACAAGUACAGUGAUGGAAAGAUGAAAAGAACUUUGAAAAGAGAGUGAAAAAGUACGUGAAAUUGUUGAAAGGGAAGGGUUUGAGAUCAGACUCGAUAUUUUGUGAGCCUUGCCUUCGUGGCGGGGUGACCCGCAGCUUAUCGGGCCAGCAUCGGUUUGGNCGGUAGGAUAAUGGCGUAGGAAUGUGACUUUACUUCGGUGAAGUGUUAUAGCCUGCGUUGAUGCUGCCUGCCUAGACCGAGGACUGCGAUUUUAUCAAGGAUGCUGGCAUAAUGAUCCCAAACCGC
rnacentral:rRNA from 1 species